rfam:Candidatus Hydrogenedentes bacterium CG1_02_42_14 cg1_0.2_scaffold_25349_c, whole genome shotgun sequence.
GGAGGAGAAGGAAAACGGCUAAUCCAAAAGUUUGCUAAACUUUGACUUCGAAAGAGGUCAAGUGGGUUCGACUCCCACCUCCUCCG